AAAAGCCAGGGCCUGGCUUAAAGCGAACCUGCAGAAACAGUGAACAGGUCUUCCCUGUGAACGUUGUCCGUCGCUUAUGAGAAACGCAGAUCCACCUGGCGCCCAAUAGUUUUAUUCGUUAAAACUCGCCACGACUCCUAGGGCCUCUGGAUCUGUAGCUAGGGGGUAAGGGGGGACUUUAAGAGCAGGUGCCCGUCUAGAAUGGUCCCACUGUGUGGCCUUGGGAGCAUCCCUCCGUCUCUGAGUCCAUGUCUCCAUCUCUGGAGGCGGCCCCUCCCUUGGGAGCUCUGGAGCUCCAAAUGAUGGAGAUCCCAUUUGAACUUGGUGCAGCUUGGCCUUGAAGCCUGGUGGCCCAGGACCCGGGCUGAGGCACAGGGAGCACCCAGGACCCGGGCUGAGGCACAGGGAGCCGCGCUCUCAGACUGAGCUGUGCUGACGCGGGGGUUCACAGGUCAGAGUGUGGGAGAGCAGCGGGCUGGGUGCACUCAGUGGGAGAGCAGCGCGGGCCAUGCCCAGCAGCACAGGCCCUGGGUUCCUCCUCCAGGACGGAAAGGAACAGAGGAGCAAAAACACAACAAACAAACACAGGGUUUCUGUGACGUCUCAGGUUGGGUUGGGGACAGAAUGGGGUGAACACCGGCCUGAUCCUGACUCUUCCUGGCCAGGAGCCUUUGUCCAGAGACUGCCCAGGAAGUCUGUGCCCACUCUCUCACGUGUGGGGCAGGUGGCCCCACACAGCCAGUGGGUGCCCCAAGACUUUGCUUCUGCACCUCGCACCAGCAGCCAGCUCCCCUUGUCCGCCUGAGCAGGGGAGCCCCCUCCCGCUGGCACCUGGGUGAUCCUGUUAUCGCCGGCCAUCAGCCAGAGCCCAGCUGGGGACAGGAGGUGGGGGCGGGGCAGUGACUGUGAACAGGGGUGGCCCUCCCCCAUUCCUCCGGGCCUCACCUGGGCACAGCAGGAGAACCUGACUCUCCCACGGACCCCUCCCAGCCGGCUGAGACAGAUUCCGGGCGUCUCCAGAACCUUGCCCAGACCAUCUCAGAAUGCCUCCUGGCCCCGACUCAGCACAGUCACACUGGAACACCCAGGUGGGGCCUUGUGCUGGCGAAGACGGAAAGGCAAAUAUUGGGAGAGGAAAAAAGAACCCCUGGCCCUGUUGACAACACUUCCUACUUGUGCCUGAAGUGUGGCUGAUAUUUUCUGUCCUUACAGAUGCUUAUAAAAACUUCUGUUAAAGUCAACUAA